rnacentral:rRNA from 1 species
UACGGAGGGUGCAAGCAUUAAUCGGAAUUACUGGGCGUAAAGGGCGCGUAGGUGGUUUGUUAAGAUUGUUGUGAAAUCCCUGGGCUUAACCUAGGAACUGCAAUGAUGACUGAUGAGCUUGAGUAUUGUAGAGGGUAGUGGAAUUUCCGGUGUAGCGGUGAAAUGCGUAGAGAUCGGAAGGAACACCAGUGGCGAAGGCGGCUACCUGGACAAAUACUGACGCUGAUGCACGAAAGCGUGGGGAGCAAACAGG